rnacentral:rRNA from 1 species
AUUGAACGCUGGCGGCAUGCCUUACACAUGCAAGUCGAACGGCAGCACGGGUGCUUGCACCUGGUGGCGAGUGGCGAACGGGUGAGUAAUAUAUCGGAACGUACCUUAUUGUGGGGGAUAACGCAGCGAAAGCUGUGCUAAUACCGCAUAAUCCCUAAGGGGGAAAGCGGGGGACCGUAAGGCCUCGCGCAAUUAGAGCGGCCGAUACCUGAUUAGCUAGUUGGUGAGGUAAAGGUUCACCAAGGCAACGAUCGGUAGCUGGCCUGAGAGGACGAUCAGCCACACUGGGACUGAGACACGGCCCAGACUCCUACGGGAGGCAGCAGUGGGGAAUUUUGGACAAUGGGGGCAACCCUGAUCCAGCAACGCCGCGUGAGUGAAGAAGGCCUUCGGGUUGUAAAGCUCUUUUGUCAGGGAAGAAACAGCAGCUCUAACACAGUAUGCGAAUGACGGUACCUGAAGAAUAAGCACCGGCUAACUACGUGCCAGCAGCCGCAGUAA